ensembl:misc_RNA Metazoa_SRP Metazoan signal recognition particle RNA
GCUGGGUGUGGUGGCGCACACCUGUAAUCCCAGCUUCUCAGGAGGCUGAGGCACAGGAAUCGCUUGAACCUGGGAGGCAGAGGUUGCAGUGAGCCGAAAUGGUGCCAUUGCACUCCAGCCUGGGUAACAGAGUGAGACUCUGUCUCAA